rnacentral:rRNA from 1 species
GGGUGGUAAUGCCGGAUGCUCCAGUUGGAUGCAUGUCCUUCUGGGAAAGAUUCUAUCGGUAUGGGAUGGGGUCGCGUCCUAUCAGCUUGAUGGCGGGGUAACGGCCCACCAUGGCUUCGACGGGUAGCCGGCCUGAGAGGGCGACCGGCCACAUUGGGACUGAGAUACGGCCCAGACUCCUACGGGAGGCAGCAGUGGGGAAUAUUGCACAAUGGGCGCAAGCCUGAUGCAGCGACGCCGCGUGCGGGAUGACGGCCUUCGGGUUGUAAACCGCUUUUGACUGGGAGCAAGCCCUUCGGGGUGAGUGUACCUUUCGAAUAAGCACCGGCUAACUAUGUGCCAGCAGCCGCGGUAAUACGUAGGGUGCAAGCGUUAUCCGGAAUUAUUGGGCGUAAAGGGCUCGUAGGCGGUUCGUCGCGUCCGGUGUGAAAGUCCAUCGCUUAACGGUGGAUCCGCGCCGGGUACGGGCGGGCUUGAGUGCGGUAGGGGAGACUGGAAUUCCCGGUGUAACGGUGGAAU